rnacentral:rRNA from 1 species
ACGGGGGGUGCAAGCGUUGUUCGGAAUCAUUGGGCGUAAAGAGCGCGCAGGCGGCGGGAUAAGUCAGAUGUGAAAGCCCUGGGCUCAACUCAGGAAGUGCAUUUGAUACUGUUUCUCUUGAGUACUGGAGAGGGAGGAGGAAUUCCUGGUGUAGAGGUGAAAUGCGUAGAUAUCAGGAGGAACACCGGUGGCGAAGGCAGCUUCCUGGCCAGAUACUGACGCUGAUGCGCGAGAGCGUGGGGAGCAAACAG